AUACGGAGGAUGCAAGCGUUAUCCGGAUUUAUUGGGUUUAAAGGGUGCGUAGGCGGUUUGCUAAGCGGGAGGUGAAAUGCCGGCGCUCAACGUCGGAAGUGCCUCCCGAACUGGUGGACUUGAAUGACUCUGCCGUGGGAGGAAUGUGUAGUGUAGCGGUGAAAUGCUUAGAGAUUACACAGAACACCGAUUGCGGAGGCAGCUCGCCAGGCCUGCAUUGACGCUCGGGCACGAAAGCGUGGGGAUCGAACAGGAUUAGAUACCCUGGUAGUCCACGCCGUAAACGAUGGGCGCUCGUCGUCGGCGGCAGACAGUCGGCGGCCAAGUGAAAGCGAUAAGCGCCCCACCUGGGGAGUACGGUCGCAAGGCUGAAACUCAAAUGAAUUGGCGGGG
rnacentral:rRNA from 1 species